ensembl:lncRNA
CGCUGCUUGGGGCAGCCUCAUGGGUAGAGCUCUGCAAGACCAGGGCUGGUGGGUGCUCCACUUGCAGGGGAUGCGCUUCUCCAGCUCUGCUGGCUGCUUGGUGCCCCGUGAGGAGAACUUGGAAAUGCUGUGCCCUUCAGCUCACAAAGUUUCCUGGCUCUUGCAGUCUGAUUUUCCAGGAAAGGGUACAAUCUAAACCCUCCAAUGAUUUGGUUAGCUGUUUUUCUUAAAAUUAAGGGAUUCAAAAUAAUGCCAAAUUGCUACCCAUGCCCUGGAGGACUAGGAGGCAAGCCAAAAAUGUGUUGUCACAAUGCACAUUACCUGAAAUUUUCACUAAAUUAAAAAGGGCUGUGAAGAAGUGACUCCCAAACUAUUUUAAAAAGUAGUUGCUGAAGAACUACUUCUGAAACACCCAUGAGACGUGAAGAACAACCGGUGAUCUCCUACAGGGAACAAUCUGCCACCAGAAGAGCUGUGCAUUUAAGUGAUUGUUUUGGCUCUGUUGCCAGCUCAUGCCCUCAUUCUAAGGCGCACACAAAAACCAUAAAAUAAAAAAAUUAAAACAAAAAGUGUUUCUUGGGAAAGGAAAUCCUAAGAACAUUGAAUGUGUUCAAAAGACAUUCAUUUGGGUACUUGCAGAUGAAGGAAAUAAAUGCCAGAUUCACAGAAGCUGAGGUGGAACACGCAUCGGGACUGGAGAACUAGUUCAGUUUCCAUCUCUCGGAAGAAAUGUGUGCACGUGCCACACAGGACAACAUUCUUAGUAAUCCCCUGUAAGGUGGCCGUGUCUGCUCAUGGUUUGGAGCGUUGCUCCUUGGUCUCUUCCAAUGAGACAUCCACUUUGUGUGCAGCAUUUUAUGUUCACACAGUCUAGGAACCAAACAACCACUUCCCUGCUGCGUGGGUCGUUUUCACAUUCAGCUCUAGCAAACAUUAAAAGCAGUUUGUUCCAAGAAGAUUAACUUCAAAUGGACUGCCUAAGGUAACCCAGAAGAGUUUAAAGUGACCUAGCAGCCACUUGUAGGAUAGUCAUCUGCAAGAUGGAAGAGCUAGGUUAAAACCUGCCUUUAAAAGAAGCACCACAGCUUUGAAUGGGCAUUCAGUACUUCCCAGUAAAGCCCCUAAGUGCCUCUGUGUCUCAGGUGGGUACUUCCAAGCCCUCCUCCUGCAGCUGUUCCUAAUCAGUGCUAAAAGCAAGAGUAGAAAGGAUCCCCAAGGGACCAGAGUGCUCACCUGGGAAGUGAGGGGGCACAGAUCUAAGCCCAGGGCUUACUUAUGAUGCAGUUUUAGCUUAAGGUUUCAGUCACUGGAGUGACUGUGGUGUAUAAAUUGCAUGUGGAGAAUCUGGAUAAAAUAUAGUGGUAGUUAGGACUGUUGCUUUAUCUUUGUAAUUCCUACUGUUUCUUACUGCAG